GCCCACUUAGCACAGUGGUAGUGCAUUUGCUUCGUAAGCAAAAGGUCGAGAGUUCGAUCCUCUCAGGGGGCU